AAAAUGUAGCAGCUGGGAUACCAGCUUUGUUCAGAAGAACCCAAAGCAUGGACUAGUGAACCGGGGUCUUCCAUUUAUUAAACCAGCAGAUGUGUGGAACAUGGACCCAGGGACAUUAUGGAGUGCAGAAGGUAGAAGAUGAAAUCUGGUGACUAUGAUAGUCAGGAGAAGAAUGGAGAUUCAUUUUCAAGUCAAAUGCACACUAUGUAAACACCUAUGCACUGAUGAAAGUUUUAUCUUGUGGUGACACAGUAUACCGGUGACCAUGGAUGGAAGUCCCCUCACAGUGCUGACAUCAGCCUUGGAGACAGAGUAUACAAUGAUCUGCACAGGCGGGAUUGUGGGCGGAUCCAGUGUGUGCUGGUGUACAAAGCAUUGUGGGUGGGCUGGAUAGAAUAACAAGUACAGCCAGCUGGAAGUCUCUCUUUGGCGGCUGCUGCUUCUCCUAGGCAGAAGCAUCUCAGUGGAAGUGUACCAGGUAUCCGCCAUGGCUACUUCUCCUGGGAACUAAACACGUGCGACUCUACUAGCCAGUAAACUUUUAGAUCCCUCUACAGCCAUGAGCAACCUUGACCAGAGCUGAAAGUUGUUUAUCUUAUGGGACUAAACUUUUGAUAACUAUAUUCAGACUUUAUGGACCUAGCGUACUCUUAGCCCUUGAUGAUAAGUGCUUAUUUUGCCUUUUACUUGUAUCACCCUAAUAAACCAUGUAUUGUUUAAACCAA